UUUUCUGCUGCAUUGUCAUUAAAUGAUUGAAUGCUUUAAUUAUAUUGUGGGAAAAAAUCAGUGUAUUCAAAACACAAAAACAAACAGCAGUUAAGUUGUAAUUCAUGUUCAACUGCUCUUUGUGAUAUUUUUUUGUGAUUUCAUGUUCAAUUAUAUUCGAUUUGAAGAAAAUAUUUUCUUGAAAUCACAUUUUGACUGAAAAUGAUGAGAAUACAUGUGAUAUAGGAUUGGAAAUACAGCAUUGUUUUAUACCAUUCCAUACAUCUUUUUUUUUAACUGACAUAUAAAUUUGCAGUUCAUGGUGUUGAUUUUACAUGAAAAAUUAUUUUGAGGUAUGAAAUUAAUGUCAAGACACAUGAGUCAAUUCAUUAGGGUACUGUACUCCUAUUUCUUUGUUCAGACGUGAUCCAUCCAGAAAAUACUGU
rnacentral:misc_RNA from 1 species